UACGAAGGGUGCGAGCGUUAAUCGGAAUCACUGGGCGUAAAGGGUGCGUAGGCGGGUCUUUAAGUCAGGGGUGAAAUCCUGGAGCUCAACUCCAGAACUGCCUUUGAUACUGAGGAUCUUGAGUUCGGGAGAGGUGAGUGGAACUGCGAGUGUAGAGGUGAAAUUCGUAGAUAUUCGCAAGAACACCAGUGGCGAAGGCGGCUCACUGGUCCGGUUCUGACGCUGAGGCGCGAAAGCGUGGGGAGCAAACAGG
rnacentral:rRNA from 1 species